rnacentral:rRNA from 1 species
UACGUAGGUGGCAAGCGUUGUCCGGAUUUACUGGGCGUAAAGAGCGCGCAGGCGGUCGUUCAAGUCGCGUGUGAAAGCCCCCGGCUCAACUGGGGAGGGUCACGCGAUGCUGAUCGACUGGAAGGCAGGAGAGGGUAGUGGAAUUCCCGGUGUAGUGGUGAAAUGCGUAGAUAUCGGGAGGAACACCAGUGGCGAAGGCGACUACCUGGCCUGUUCUUGACGCUGAGGCGCGAAAGCUAGGGGAGCAAACGGG